GAUGAACGCUGGCGGCGUGCCUAAUACAUGCAAGUCGAGCGAACGGACGAUAAGCUUGCUUCUCUGAUGUUAGCGGCGGACGGGUGAGUAACACGUGGAUAACCUACCUCUAUGACUUGGAUGACUUCGGGAAACCGGAGCUAAUACCGGAUAAUAUUUUGUACCGCAUGGUUCAAAAGUGAAUGACGGCCUUGCUGUCACUUAUAGAUGGAUCCGCGCUGCAUUAGCUAGUUGGUAAGGUAACGGCUUACCAAGGCAACGAUGCAUAGCCGACCUGAGAGGGUGAUCGGCCACACUGGAACUGAGACACGGUCCAGACUCCUACGGGAGGCAGCAGUAGGGAAUCUUGCGCAAUGGGCGAAAGCCUGACGGAGCAACGCCGCGUGAGUGAUGAAGGUCUUCGGAUCGUAAAACUCUGUUAUUAGGGAAGAACAUAUGUGUGAGUAACUGUGCACAUCUUGACGGUACCUAAUCAGAAAGCCACGGCUAACUACGUG
rnacentral:rRNA from 1 species